UUAAAUUGAAGAGUUUGAUCAUGGCUCAGAUUGAACGCUGGCGGCAGGCCUAACACAUGCAAGUCGAACGGUAACAGGAAGCAGCUUGCUGCUUCGCUGACGAGUGGCGGACGGGUGAGUAAUGUCUGGGAAACUGCCUGAUGGAGGGGGAUAACUACUGGAAACGGUGGCUAAUACCGCAUAACGUCGCAAGACCAAAGAGGGGGACCUUCGGGCCUCUUGCCAUCAGAUGUGCCCAGAUGGGAUUAGCUUGUUGGUGAGGUAACGGCUCACCAAGGCGACGAUCCCUAGCUGGUCUGAGAGGAUGACCAGCCACACUGGAACUGAGACACGGUCCAGACUCCUACGGGAGGCAGCAGUGGGGAAUAUUGCACAAUGGGCGCAAGCCUGAUGCAGCCAUGCCGCGUGUAUGAAGAAGGCCUUCGGGUUGUAAAGUACUUUCAGCGGGGAGGAAGGUGUUGUGGUUAAUAACCGCAGCAAUUGACGUUACCCGCAGAAGAAGCACCGGCUAACUCCGUGCCAGCAGCCGCGGUAAUACGGAGGGUGCAAGCGUUAAUCGGAAUUACUGGGCGUAAAGCGCACGCAGGCGGUCUGUCAAGUCGGAUGUGAAAUCCCCGGGCUCAACCUGGGAACUGCAUUCGAAACUGGCAGGCUUGAGUCUUGUAGAGGGGGUAGAAUUCCAGGUGUAGCGGUGAAAUGCGUAGAGAUCUGGAGGAAUACCGGUGGCGAAGGCGGCCCCCUGGACAAAGACUGACGCUCAGGUGCGAAAGCGUGGGGAGCAAACAGGAUUAGAUACCCUGGUAGUCCACGCCGUAAACGAUGUCUACUUGGAGGUUGUGCCCUUGAGGCGUGGCUUCCGGAGCUAACGCGUUAAGUAGACCGCCUGGGGAGUACGGCCGCAAGGUUAAAACUCAAAUGAAUUGACGGGGGCCCGCACAAGCGGUGGAGCAUGUGGUUUAAUUCGAUGCAACGCGAAGAACCUUACCUGGUCUUGACAUCCACAGAACUUUCCAGAGAUGGAUUGGUGCCUUCGGGAACUGUGAGACAGGUGCUGCAUGGCUGUCGUCAGCUCGUGUUGUGAAAUGUUGGGUUAAGUCCCGCAACGAGCGCAACCCUUAUCCUUUGUUGCCAGCGAUUAGGUCGGGAACUCAAAGGAGACUGCCAGUGAUAAACUGGAGGAAGGUGGGGAUGACGUCAAGUCAUCAUGGCCCUUACGACCAGGGCUACACACGUGCUACAAUGGCGCAUACAAAGAGAAGCGACCUCGCGAGAGCAAGCGGACCUCAUAAAGUGCGUCGUAGUCCGGAUUGGAGUCUGCAACUCGACUCCAUGAAGUCGGAAUCGCUAGUAAUCGUGGAUCAGAAUGCCACGGUGAAUACGUUCCCGGCCUUGUACACACCGCCCGUCACACCAUGGGAGUGGGUUGCAAAAGAAGUAGGUAGCUUAACCUUCGGGAGGGCGCUUACCACUUUGUGAUUCAUGACUGGGGUGAAGUCGUAACAAGGUAACCGUAGGGGAACCUGCGGUUGGAUCACCUCCUUACCUUAAAGAA
rnacentral:rRNA from 1 species